UACGAAGGGGGCUAGCGUUGCUCGGAAUCACUGGGCGUAAAGCGCACGUAGGCGGAUCUUUAAGUCAGGGGUGAAAUCCUGGAGCUCAACUCCAGAACUGCCUUUGAUACUGGAGAUCUCGAGUCCGGAAGAGGUGAGUGGAACUCCGAGUGUAGAGGUGAAAUUCGUAGAUAUCUGGAGGAAUACCGGUGGCGAAGGCGGCAUCCUGGACCGGCAUUGACGCUGAUGAGCGAAAGCUAGGGGAGCAAACGGG
rnacentral:rRNA from 1 species